rnacentral:rRNA from 1 species
CCCGUGACCAUCGAGUUUUUGAACGCAAGUUGCGCCCAAAGCCUUCGGGUCGAGGGCACGUCUGCCUGGGUGUCACGCA